GAAAAAGUAUGCAAGAACUGCUAAUUCUGUGCCCCCAUGCUUAACAGCAUGGCUUUUUCA
rnacentral:tRNA from 1 species